GAUAGAAAGUUUAAAAUCACGUUUUGCUCAGAAAAAUACACUCUUUCAGAUGAUAUAUAAAAAUCGGAAAUCCGUGAAUAGCUAAACAACCCAAUUGCAUAGCAUAAAUUCUAUGACUCUAUAUGUGGUACCGGGUUGUCGAAACGUUCGGUCAUCGAAAUCCAAGCUCGAAUCUCUCUUGAAUUCAUUAAACCUAUCCCACAAAUUAUCUUUCCACCGAUUCCCGAGAGAUGCGACCAUUCGGAAGAAAUGGCUACGAUUUUUUGGACAGGUCCUAAGCACCAACACGAACAAUAUGUACAUUUGCUUGCUUCAUUUUAGUCCGGAUUAUUUCAUGUAUAUCGAUGGCUUGGAAGUACAAUAUCGUCGAAAAUUGAUUCCCACAGCUGUUCCUUCUAUCAGGAAGGCCGAAAAUAAGAAGCCCUCGAGACAGCAUAACCGAAAAGCCAUGAUUGACAUCAAACAACAACAUCAAACAAAAGAGGCAUCGGAGCACCAAAGAGAGCUUCAAAAAGCUAAAAAACGAAUGACUGAACUCGAAAAAGCCAACAAAGAUUUACAGCUAGUCAAUAAACAGCAAACAUUGCUUGAAUCAAAGGUCAUUCUAUCAAAACGAUACACAAAAAAUUAAAUCGACAUCAUGCUUGAUCAAAAAAAGAAAGUCAAGCAAUGGUCUGCCGAGGAAUUAGCGAUGGGAUUUACUCUCAACUAUUUGAGUAAGCCUGCACUCAAGUUUAUUAGCCAGACACGCCAUUUUCCCUUACCAUCAGCAAAAUGUCUACACGAUUAUGCCGCUAAAAUCAAUAUGCGGAGAGGCUUCUUCGAGGAAAUUAUCCAGAUUCUCAAAGCAUAUGCAGAUACGCUGUCAGAAAGGGAGCGGAUAUGUGCAAUAAUU